UACGUAGGGUGCGAGCGUUGUCCGGAAUUAUUGGGCGUAAAGAGCUCGUAGGCGGUCUGUCGCGUCGGCUGUGAAAACCUGGGGCUUAACUCCGGGCCUGCAGCCGAUACGGGCAGACUAGAGUUCGGCAGGGGAGACUGGAAUUCCUGGUGUAGCGGUGAAAUGCGCAGAUAUCAGGAGAAACACCGGUGGCGAAGGCGGGUCUCUGGGCCGAUACUGACGCUGAGGAGCGAAAGCGUGGGGAGCAAACAGG
rnacentral:rRNA from 1 species